rnacentral:rRNA from 1 species
AACGAACGCUGGCGGCAUGCCUAACACAUGCAAGUCGAACGAUUGCCUUCGGGUUAUGGUGGCUCACGGGUUCGUAACGCGUGGGAAUCUGCCCUUAUGUUCGGAAUAACAGCUUGAGACGGCUGCUAAUACCGGAGGAUAUCGCGAGAUCAAAGAUUUAUCGGCUGAGGAUGAGCCGGCGUUGGAUUACGGAGUUGGUUGGGGAAAGGCCUACCAAGCCGACGAUGCAGAGCUGGUCUGAGAGGGUGAUAAGCCACGCUGGGACUGCGACACGGACCAGACUGCUAGGGGAGGGAGCAGUAGGGAAUAUUAUACACUGGGGGCAAGCCUAGUACAGCAACGCCGCGUGAGAGAUGAAGGCCGUAGGGUUGUAAAGUUCUUUUACACGAGAAGAUAAUGACGGUAACGGGAGAAGAAGCACCGGCUAACUACGUG